CUCUGCUGUGGGAGACAAGAGAAGGGAGAAGAGACGGGGGUGAAACACUCCGCAUCUGCCGUUCCCACGGUGGUCGUCCUCGUCGUCCAACCCUGCGCGCCCGACGAGGACCGCGGCAUCCGCACCUUCACCAAGCAGUCCGCGGCGGACAAGCGCCCCAGCUAUGGGCACCGCCCACGAGCUCUGCGCCGGACGGUCCGGUCAAGGAGCUUUGCAAGCAAAGAUACAAAUUCUGACCAGUUGGAGUUGAACAACAAUAAUCAACAACAUGACUCAGGGAAUGACAGCAUGACUGACCAGCAGGAGCAAACAUCUCGUGGCAUUUGUUCACAAGCUACGUAAACUAUAGUUGAUUUGACAGAAAGUGAUGCAUCAGACGGCAUGUUGCUUGAUGGCUUGAGAACAAUCGUAAUUGCAGAAAAGACAAGAGAGGAAGCAGGAAAUGAGUGUUUUAAAAGAGCAAAGGAACAAGGUACUCGUUGACAAAGAAAACUACUUCAAUAUUUUUUUCUACUAACGAGGCCCAGGUCUGUGUACACAUGUGGCCUUUUCCUUCUCAAACAAACAAGAACAAACAAACAAAAAGCCCAACAAAAACAAGGGCAGGUUGCGGGGGUUGUUGGGCUGGAAGGGAUGGGCUGCCCACACAACAAACAAACUGGUCGACACGAGGUGAUCGGGGAGCAACCACGCGUAUUGUUUGUCAACAAGUGGGGACAGAUUAGAUGAUGAUGUCAGAUUAGUGGGGACACGAGGUGAUCCUGAUGUGAGAUGAUGAGUAUCUCACAUCUAGAUGUAACAUAGACAUACCUUUUUUUUAAUUCAUCAAUAAUUCUUGGACAUUUUUAAAUCCAUGGAAUAUCUUAAAUUUUAUUUAAAAAAAAUUCGUGAACAUUUUAAUAAUCCAUGAACAUUUUUUGAA